rnacentral:rRNA from 1 species
UACGUAGGGUGCAAGCGUUGUCCGGAAUUAUUGGGCGUAAAGAGCUCGUAGGCGGUCUGUCGCGUCGGCUGUGAAAUCCCGGGGCUCAACCCCGGGCCUGCAGUCGAUACGGGCAGACUAGAGUGCGGUAGGGGAGACUGGAAUUCCUGGUGUAGCGGUGAAAUGCGCAGAUAUCAGGAGGAACACCGGUGGCGAAGGCGGGUCUCUGGGCCGAUACUGACGCUGAGACACGAAAGCGUGGGUAGCAAACAGG